GAUGAACGCUGGCGGCGUGCCUAAUACAUGCAAGUCGAGCGAACGGACGAUAAGCUUGCUUCUCUGAUGUUAGCGGCGGACGGGUGAGUAACACGUGGAUAACCUACCUAUAAGACUGGGAUAACUUCGGGAAACCGGAGCUAAUACCGGAUAAUAUUUUGAACCGCAUGGUUCAAAAGUGAAAGACGGUCUUUCUGUCACUUAUAGAUGGAUCCGCGAUGCAUUAGCUAGUUGGUAAGGUAACGGCUUACCAAGGCAACGAUGCAUAGCCGACCUGAGAGGGUGAUCGGCCACACUGGAACUGAGACACGGUCCAGACUCCUACGGGAGGCAGCAGUAGGGAAUCUUACGCAAUGGGCGGAAGCCUGACGGAGCAACGCCGCGUGAGUGAUGAAGGUCUUCGGAUCGUAAAACUCUGUUAUUAGGGAAGAACAUAUGUGUAAGUAACGGUGCACAUCUUGACGGUACCUUAUCAGAAAGCCACGGCUAACUACGUG
rnacentral:rRNA from 1 species